UCGGGAAUUUUGGGCAAUGGGCGAAAGCCUGACCAGCAACGCCGCGUGAGGGAUGAAGUAUUUCGGUAUGUAAACCUCGAAAGAAUGGGAAGAAUAAAUGACGGUACCAUUUAUAAGCUCCGGCUAACUACGUGCCAGCAGCCGCGGUAAUACGUAGGGAGCAAGCGUUGUUCGGAUUUACUGGGCGUAAAGGGCGCGUAGGCGGCGCGGUAAGUCACUUGUGAAAUCUCUGAGCUUAACUCAGAACGGCCAAGUGAUACUGCUGUGCUAGAGUGCGGAAGAGGCAACCGGAAUUCUUGGUGUAGCGGUGAAAUGCGUAGAUAUCAAGAGGAACACCUGAGGCGAAGGCGGGUUGCUGGGCCGACACUGACGCUGAUGCGCGAAAGCCAGGGGAGCAAACG
rnacentral:rRNA from 1 species